AACUCUUUUAUUUUUUAUUUUUUUAUUAGUGUUAUUAGAGAUUAUAAGUUUGUAUUAGCAUGACAUGAUGUUCCUGAUAGAAAUGGUAUUAUAGUUUUCUUAAAUGUUUGCUCAACUUUUCUUAUAUAUAGUAAGUAGAUUUCAGUUUUUAUUGUUGUGGUUAGGUUUAAUACUCAAAAUAUUGAUUAUUUUAUUUAGUUUUUCAACAUUGUACGUGGGUUUUGUAUUUUUUUUAUUCUUAUUAAAAUAUUUGUAUAUUUAUGUAUUAACAUAUUAACAUGAUUAUUUAUUUUAAAAUUCAAAAUAAACCAAUCUACAUCUUUUUGCUAAUAAUAUAUAAAUAGUUAAUUUUUUAUUUAUUGGUUCAGUAAUUUCACAUUUAUUAGAAUACUUUACUUAAUUAUAACUAAUAUUUAAAAGAAAUAAUUGGAUAGACAACAUAUCAAAUUUAGAAUCUAGCAAUUACUUUGUAUGUUAUAACUAUAUAAAUUUUAUGCAUUUUACAAUUUUUUUAAAAGUAAUUUAUUCUGCUAAUAUGAAAUCUAAUUAAAAAUUGAGAGUGAGUGCCGUAUCCAUGAUGUUUACUCAUGGCCGUAACCAAAAAAAAAACAUUAAGCCCAUUAUUGGACAAAUACACAACAAACGAAAGCCCAAUAUGAUUUCCAAUUAAAUGAAUCGCAACGUUUAACACAGGAGACACGUGCCAGCCCCUCAAAAAGUGAGUUUCCAACUGGAUAGCCUAGGAGUGAAACAAACAAUUUUAUAUAUAUAUAUAAAUUUUUUUGGUCGAUAGCUUAAUGAUAUUUUCAAAUUACAAAAAAUAUAUGAAAAAAUUAAUCAAUAUUUAUUUUUUUUCCUUUUUUUCAUAACUGAAGCUGGCUUUUCUUUUUCUUUGGACUGUGAUUGAAACCAGAUAGAUAUGAUGAGUUAAUUGAUUAAAUGUUUUUUUAACCCAAAUUUUCAUAUUAAAAGGCGAGAAACAAAAUGGUGAAAGCUAGAUGCUUAAGUUAAUUAAAUGGUAAAGGCCCAGUAAUUAAGCAGCCCAAAUACAGAAAACUUUGCAUGCGAGUCGGAGGAACCGGAGUCAGGACCGGACCUGACCGGAGUUACCAAGAGACAAUUAGUUCAGAGGAGCAGACGAUCAAAGAAAGAUGAGGACUGUGAGGAAUAGAUGAUCAAUGAAAGAUAAGUGAAUGUUCUAUCUUUUAUAUCAAGAUUCACUUUUUCGUUUAACCUUUGUUUGUUUCUUCUUGAAGUCGGCAAGAUUCUUAUAUAUCUGAAAGUAUCAGACUAAUCCACGGGUUGAGAAUUGAGAAGUACAUUGACUAUUUUCCCUAAAGAAUACCAAAAAAUAUUUUUAUUUAAAAUUAAAAAAAACUUUUAAAAUUGAACAAUAGUUGAGGAUACGACAUCGUUUAACAAUGGUACAUGUUUUCCUGAGUUUAAUAACCUAAAUCUUUUUCCAUCUUCGUGAGUACGGCGAGUUUAGAAUCGUCUUUCUCCUUUUUGUGUUAUCUUUUUCUCUAGAAUAGCUCGAUUCUUCGUCUCCAAUCAAGCUUGAUUUAUCGCUAGCCUCCAGUCUUUUUUCACGCUAUCAAUCGCUGGCGGUUUCAGCAUCUUCAUGUUAUUCACCAGCACAACCGUUGAUUUCACCUUCUUGAGCCACCGGCGAACUUCUUUACCGUCUGAACCACAACACAGCUUCUAUCGCCGCGUUAACCACCUUCAGAUUGGUAAGCGUACUUGUUUCCACCGAUUGUCUUUCUUUGGGAAGUCUUGGGCUUCCUCUCAUAUGCGAGAGCUCUGUUUACCAUUGUGCUCUGGAAAGUUUGGGAAUAAAAUGGGGAAGAAAUCUAAUCGGUUGGACACAACAACAACUUACACCGGAGACUGGCCGGAAAUAGUCGUCCUCCGUAAUUUAACUCGGGCUCUAUUGUCAGUUCAAAAACACAGAGUUCAAGAAUGGCUGCAGCCUUAGGCAUGUUUAGUCACGGUCCGGAAAAUGAUGAUAAAAGAUGGUGGGCUUAGAUCAUGUAAGUUGCAGUCCAAGUGACUAAACUAUCUAAGACCGCAUCAAAUUCAUUAAAUCGUUAAUGAAACACAGAGUUUCGAGAUGGUAGGACAGGUGUCGCACUCACAAUCAAUGACUUUUUGACCUGGCGCUGACGUGGAUGCACAUGAGUGAAGCAAACAUUUUUUUAUAUAUAUAGAUUAUACCUAAUCACAUUUGGUACUCUACUAUCCAUAAAUAAUGUUGGUC